UGAGGCUGAGCGAGGUAGCCAGCAGUCCCUUGAAGGUGAAAUUUCAGAAGAGGAAAUUAUUUGAUGGCAUUUGGAAAUUCCUCUGUGAAGGGCUGGGGUCUCUCCUUCACUAGCUAAACUUGGGGCUCUUAAGACCUCCUGAAAAGUCAGAGUGAAACUGAAGUUAAAAUUUUCUGAAAGAAUGAAAAGGCCUAGCUGUCUCCCUAAAGAAGAACAAUCAGACAUUAAUCGCCAAAUGCCAAUGGAGUUUAUCAUAGCCCCAGCAGAGUCUUCUUUACAUCUAGCUGUAACCUCCCCCACCACUAAUGCAAAGUGGGUUGAAUUUCUGGAGGCAAGCCGAAUAUACGAAGGAAGAGAAAUUAGAGAGAUUGAAGCAAUAAAAAUGAAAAUGAGCAUGAAGUAAUUAAAUAAAUUGACAAACAGGUA